UUUCUUUCUAUCCCCUAACCCAAUUUGCUCUAACCCAAUGAAUUUAUUUAUAAUAAAAAAUAAAGCUAAACUGUAGCUGAACAUUAUAUAUGAAUCACUUAUUCAUGUUCUUGAGCGUCAUGCUAUAAUGUCGUGUACAAACAUGGAAAGAAAAAACGUCCUUUAUUUUGUUUAAUUAAUAUGUGUUUUUGUGUGUGUGUUUAUCUGUAUACAAUGAUAGAU
rnacentral:misc_RNA from 1 species